UACGGAGGGUGCAAGCGUUGUUCGGAAUUAUUGGGCGUAAAGCGCACGUAGGCGGCUAUCUAAGUCGGAUGUGAAAUCCCUCGGCUUAACCAAGGAAGUGCACCCGAAACUGGAUAGCUUGAGUACAGAAGAGGAUCGCGGAAUUCCCGGUGUAGAGGUGAAAUUCGUAGAUAUCGGGAGGAACACCAGUGGCGAAGGCGGCGAUCUGGGCUGAUACUGACGCUGAGGCGCGAAAGCGUGGGGAGCAAACAGG
rnacentral:rRNA from 1 species